AAGUCGUAACAAGGUCUCCGUUGGUGAACCAGCGGAGGGAUCAUUACUGAGUUAUCCAAAAACUCCCAACCCUAUGUGAACUUACCACUGUUGCCUCGGCGAGCUGCGCUACCCUGUAGCUACUUUUGUAGCGACCUGGGAGCGCGUUAUAGGCUCGCCAGAGGACCACUAAACUCUGUUUUAUUUUGUAUCUCUGAAUCUUACAACUGAAAUUAGUUAAAACUUUCAACAACGGAUCUCUUGGUUCUG
rnacentral:misc_RNA from 1 species